rnacentral:rRNA from 1 species
AUUGAACGCUGGCGGCAUGCCUUACACAUGCAAGUCGAACGGUAACAGGUCUUCGGAUGCUGACGAGUGGCGAACGGGUGAGUAAUGCAUCGGAACGUGCCCAGUAGUGGGGGAUAGCCCGGCGAAAGCCGGAUUAAUACCGCAUACGACCUGAGGGUGAAAGGGGGGGAUCGCAAGACCUCUCGCUAUUGGAGCGGCCGAUGUCAGAUUAGCUAGUUGGUGGGGUAAAGGCCUACCAAGGCAACGAUCUGUAGUUGGUCUGAGAGGACGACCAGCCACACUGGGACUGAGACACGGCCCAGACUCCUACGGGAGGCAGCAGUGGGGAAUUUAGGACAAUGGGCGCAAGCCUGAUCCAGCAAUGCCGCGUGCAGGAAGAAGGCCUUCGGGUUGUAAACUGCUUUUGUCAGGGAAGAAAUCUUCUGGGUUAAUACCUCGGGAGGAUGACGGUACCUGAAGAAUAAGCACCGGCUAACUCCGUGCCAGCAGCCGCGGUAA